GAUGAACGCUGGCGGCGUGCCUAAUACAUGCAAGUCGAGCGAACGGACGAGAAGCUUGCUUCUCUGAUGUUAGCGGCGGACGGGUGAGUAACACGUGGAUAACCUACCUAUAAGACUGGGAUAACUUCGGGAAACCGGAGCUAAUACCGGAUAAUAUUUUGAACCGCAUGGUUCAAAAGUGAAAGACGGUCUUGCUGUCACUUAUAGAUGGAUCCGCGCUGCAUUAGCUAGUUGGUAAGGUAACGGCUUACCAAGGCAACGAUGCAUAGCCGACCUGAGAGGGUGAUCGGCCACACUGGAACUGAGACACGGUCCAGACUCCUACGGGAGGCAGCAGUAGGGAAUCUUCCGCAAUGGGCGAAAGCCUGACGGAGCAACGCCGCGUGAGUGAUGAAGGUCUUCGGAUCGUAAAACUCUGUUAUUACGGAAGAACAUAUGUGUAAGUAACUGUGCACAUCUUGACGGUACCUAAUCAGAAAGCCACGGCUAACUACGUGCCAACAGCCGCGGUAAUACGUAGGUGGCAAGCGUUAUCCGGAAUUAUUGGGCGUAAAGCGCGCGUAGGCGGUUUUUUAAGUCUGAUGUGAAAGCCCACGGCUCAACCCGUGGAGGGUCAUUGGAAACUGGAAAACUUGAGUGCAGAAGAGGAAAGUGGAAUUCCAUGUGUAGCGGUGAAAUGCGCAGAGAUAUGGAGGAACACCAGUGGCGAAGGCGACUUUCUGGUCUGUAACUGACGCUGAUGUGCGAAAGCGUGGGGAUCAAACAGGAUUGGAUACCCUGGUAGUCCACGCCGUAAACGAUGAGUGCUAAGUGUUAGGGGGUUUCCGCCCCUUAGUGCUGCAGCUAACGCAUUAAGCACUCCGCCUGGGGAGUACGACCGCAAGGUUGAAACUCAAAGGAAUUGACGGGGACCCGCACAAGCGGUGGAGCAUGUGGUUUAAUUCGAAGCAACGCGAAGAACCUUACCAAAUCUUGACAUCCUUUGACAACUCUAGAGAUAGAGCUUUCCCCUUCGGGGGACAAAGUGACAGGUGGUGCAUGGUUGUCGUCAGCUCGUGUCGUGAGAUGUUGAGUUAAGUCCCGCAACGAGCGCAACCCUUAAGCUUAGUUGCCAUCAUUAAGUUGGGCACUCUAAGUUGACUGCCGAUGACAAACCGGAGGAAGGUGGGGAUGACGUCAAAUCAUCAUGCCCCUUAUGAUUUGGGCUACACACGUGCUACAAUGGACAAUACAAAGGGCAGCGAAACCGUGAGGUCAAGCAAAUCCCAUAAAGUUGUUCUCAGUUCGGAUUGUAGUCUGCAACUCGACUACAUGAAGCUGGAAUCGCUAGUAAUCGCAGAUCAGCAUGCUACGGUGAAUACGUUCCCGGGUCU
rnacentral:rRNA from 1 species